GGUCGGCUCCACAACUGAUAGGGCUUUCAGUUAGGACAGGUAGAGGAAAAAGGACGCUGUGCUAGGAGGAGACUCUAUGGUGGGGGGGAUCAGCCA